ACCUGCCGGGCCGGGCGGUGCUGGGCAGGGGCGGCCAGCGGGGGCGAGAGGAGGAGGGGAAGGAUGAUCAGAGCACGAAGAAAAAAAAAAAGACAAGAUGACGAAAAGGAGAAGCGGUCGCUGCCGUAGGGACGCGGCCGCUGUCCCGGAGCCGUGGGAACCGCUGGAGCGCCGCGAGGGGCGGUGCCGCCCGGUGCUGCGGGCCGAGGUCGUGGGGAGCCCGGGUCUGUGAGGGAAUCGCCCGGAGCGCGAAGGGGCCCCGACAACAUCGCCUGAGCGCGGGGUAUCCGGGCCGCCCGCGGGGAUGCGGGAACCAGCGUGUGCUGGAAGCCCUUCAGCUGUCAGUAGAACCCGAUGUAAUUUGUAACUCAAAAAGUCUUUUCUCGUUUUGUAGCAGAAAGGAAGCUUGUUGGCCGCGCAGAUUGCCCGGCCGGGGUGUCACUGUUCUCAGUCAGCGGGGAGGCCGGGCAAACCCGGCCAAACAUUGCCUGCCACAGUCUGAGGUGAAACACCUCAAAAUAGUAGAUAUUUCAGGCUCUCCAGAGGCCAGCUGCUUAGGAGAAAUCAGGUAUACAAUCAACAGCCUUUGUCAGCUAGAUUUUGCUUCCCCCUGCUUCUCUCCAUGUGAAGGCAACUAGCUGCGAUGAAGGUUGAAGACCUUUCAAAACCCAAAGACCCAGAGCACUGCUGCUUAUACCCAGCUUUCAGCUGCACAAAAGAAAUGUUCGUGUUUCUCACGUGCAAAGGUGAAAAACAGAUAUCAAAGUGAGCACCUUGCUAGUUUUCUGUGGUUUUAGGUGGAGAAUGUGUUGGCGUCUCAUCCUCUGAUAAAUUAAUUGUCCAUGUGGAAGGUGCUAAAGCAAUCCCUGCAUUGUAGUUUACUGUGCAUUGUGGAGGAGAACUGAAGAAGUACAAAAGGAAAGGAACUAGGGAAGACUGGAGGAAAACCUGGGAACACAAGUCUUUAUAUGAAGAUCAGGCGAGGACAGAUGGCAGCCCCUUCUGCUCUACUUGCAGGCCCUUUUGCCUGUACUUAAGAGCUUGUAACUGUGUCCAAAAGUGUAAGCAAGGAAGAAUAUGGAAGAAAAUCCUGAUUUUACACCAUAAAAAUAGUUUAAAAUGCAUGCAUAUGCAGGAUUCCUAAAUCUGCAGGUCUCUCAGAAGUGGCGUGAGUCUCAGUGUAAAGGAAAACCAGUAGGAACCAAGUGCUUCCAAAGUACUUCUCAGCAAUCCUAGGUUCUUCAGUUUUACGCACUUCCUGUAAAAUAUACACUUUCUGUAUGUAGGAAGAAGCUUCCCCCUUGGUGGGCAGGCCGUGCAGCAGUGUGUCCUUGCCGCAAGAGUGAGCAGACUGCAGCCUGAGAACCAGUGCUGUGGGACAUUCUAUUCCAACAAGGAUGCAACCUGACCACUUGGGUAGAGGAAAACUCUCGUGAGAGAAGAACCAUUUACAUUCAACAGUCUUGUAGAGCAUCAUUUGUCUUUGGCCUUUCCAAUGCAUUUUAUACUGGAACUUCUACAGCAGCAAAGGCUAUAAUUGAACUUUUAAUGUGGCUUUUCUGUCUGCAUGAGGUUUUAUAGCCCGGGGCCUCAGGACAGGCAGGAUUUCCAAGAUGCAUUUUACUGGAAAGUUUUGAAUAGCUCUGCUUCUUCACAUUGAUUUUUGAAAUAACUGCUGGUCAUGCAAGAUAAUUUGAAUCCAAAGUCAUGUGGAAAACCUCCCACUCUCAAAGUCCUGAUGUAUUUGCGAGUUUUGUAAGCAGUUAGCCUAUAAAUGUAAAUCUCUUCCUAUGGUAAACAUUUACAAUGAAUCAAAGAGAUUGUAGUGGGUGCAUGUUGAGUUCAACAGAUGUAUGGGAAUUCAAGGGCACUGCAAACAUGGCUGGUUCUCCAGUGUGUAGUCUUACCUGCAGCAAGGUAGAUGAGGUUUUUACUAAGAAAAGGUGUGGGAAUAUUUCCAGACCCAAAACCAGCCAUGGCUCAGUACUCAACUCUUUUGUAUUCUCUUUUCAGCCACCGCUGACUUAAAAUUCUAAAUUAUUCUAUGAAAUCUCUUUUUAGUUUAUUAGCAAGAAGUCUUACGCUUCUCUUGAGUUUAAUUACAGACAGUGAAGAUACAGAGACUUGAUCAUUAAGAUUUUUUAAAUGUAUGAUUAUUUAAUGAAGAAAUUUCAAAUUAUUCUGCUUUUUUUGUGCCAUAUUAGAAUGUUUACAAAAAUCAUUCUUGAUUGAUAAAUCUUGAUGAAAUAAAUCUGGAUAAAUCUUCUGAUGGCUUCCCUUUCAUAAUAAUAUGUUUGUUUCCAGUGUUUCUACUGGUCUCUCACUUUGUCCGAACAAAAAUACUGAGAAAGAGAAACUAUAAUAAGGUGUUGCUCAUUCUAGUACAGGCACAUCAAGGAAGUGUAGAGAAUGUGACAAUUAGCAUGGCAAUCAGUAUACCAACUGAUGGUGGCAAUGCCUUCUGCAGUUACAGAAAAGGCUCUGGGUUCUCUCAGGCUCACUCGAAAUUGUGUUCAAAUUGAUGAGGCAAAGUUUAAUGUUCAGAGGAUUUUCCACUGAAGUUAUGCCCUUAAUUCUGUGAGGAUGGGAUGCCAAUGGCAGGAACAGAGAUUUGGGGAAAGGCAUCACACUUGCUGUCAGGCCCAUGAUAGUGCAGGAACAGUUUGUAAUCUUGGUGACAUUUUCAACUGAAGAAGCACAGCAGGAGAUGAAAAGGUGGGUGGAGUGGCUGGCAUUUAGAUGAGCCAGACUGCUUCUAACAUCAAAAGAGCUUCAGUUCAAUAACUGGCCAAAGGGUCAACCAGGUUCUUGCCUUGCCUAAGGCAGUAUUUCCAUAAUGGUUUUGGUCUGUGCAAUUGCUUCCAUACAAACAUGGAGCCAGAGAGCCCAGGCAAACUCCUUAAUUCUUAGAGGGCUUUGUGCUGGCCUAGGAAUUGUACUUUCCUUAAACACUGGACAUGUAAUUACAAAGUUUAUCUUGCCAAAUUAUGGUUUUUUUGCACAAAGUUCUGGUAUCUUUUCUCAACAGUUGUAUAAUUGGGCUGGUUUGCAAUAAACACUUUUAAUCU